AGCAUUUCGAGCUCAGAGCUGCAAGCUGUUAGUUGGGAGCACCAGCACUGCGAAGCAGUACCCGGAGCUACCAUGGCCUACAGCCCGCAGGAAGAGAAAGAUAAAGUUGUAUUCGUGACCAAAGAAGACCACGAAAGUCCCAGCAAUGCCGAGCUGGUGGUUGACGAGCCCAAUGAUCCCCAUGCAGAGUAUGGACUGAUACUGCCAAGUGGCAGCAUUAACUGGAAUUGCCCGUGCCUUGGAGGAAUGGCCAGCGGCCCCUGUGGAGAACACUUCAAGUCUGCCUUUUCCUGCUUCCACCACAGCACCGAAGAAGUCAAGGGGUCCGAUUGUGCAAGUGAGUACCAGGCCUUGAAGGAGUGCAUGCAGAAAUACCCAGACAUCUAUCCUCAAGAAGAGAAUGAGAGCGAGAGCGAGGACGACAACUCGGACAUCUACCAGGAGGCCCUGCAGGAUGAGGAGGAGGAGGAGGAGGAAGAGGACGAUGAUGUCGAUGACUACUACUACGAGGGGCUUGAGAAUGCCGAGGUAGAGGAGGAGGAGGAGGAGGAGGAAGAUGAAGAUGACUAUUACUACGAAGUAGAGGAGUAUGAGGAGGAGGAGGAGGAGGAGGAGGAGGAUUACUAUCACGAGAACAACUAUUACAACAAUAACGACUACUAUGACGAUGAAGACUACUACCAGUACGAAGACAACUAUUAUAAGGACGAAGAUGAUGAAAUCUACUACGAGGCUGACUACCAGGAGGAGGGAGAGGAUGAAGAGGACGAAGAGGAUGAGGAUGCUUUCUAUGAGGCUAACUAUUUCGGUGAGGAGGAUGAAGAGGAGCCAGCGGAGCCAGCUGAGCCAGCGGAGCCAGCCAAACCCAAGGAGGAAGCAGACGCCGCUGAGGCCUCCUCUGGAGGCAAAUUGCAGUACUUCAGCGCCUGAAGGCCACAAGCCCCAGCUGCUGCCCAUUUACUUAGCCACAGAACUUUCUGCACUAUGAACGCCUGCCUUUCGAUCGCUUGCUCUCUCUCUCAAUGAAAGUAUCCUUUCCUCUCUUGUUUUAUGCACUGUAAUAUAGAAAAUAACUUACUUUGAUGAUCGAGGUCUUGGCGGCUUGCCUGACCCUGAAGAAAAGAGGGGUGUGUGUGUGCACCUACAUUAUACAGAAACUUACCCUCAACACUAGGCCACUGCUGAACUGUCCUCUCUGAGUGCCCUGGAUUCUGCCACUUUGAAAUUAUGUGAAGUUUCUCAACAGUCAAGAGCCGUUACUCAGAAAAGUCUCUCGCCCUUGGAGCAUCACCCCAUCAGAAAAACUACCAAAAGAAAUGGCUGGAAAAUGGCAUCUGAUCUUCAGGCCUGGGGAAGAAGAUUUAACGACUUGGUUUCCUGUUCAUUCGCUGCUUUUCCAGGAGUGCUGCUUUGCCAUAGACUGUGGGUCUGGCCAGCUGACCCAUUUCGGCCCACCAUUCCACAUUUCCACAUGGCUUUUCCUCCGUUUAAUGAAAAUGUUGGAAGGAAAAACAACUCAGGCCGUGAGCUCAACUUUUAAUCUUCUGUGGAAAGCUUCAAAGCAGGAAAUGCAUACCUUGAUCAAGAAAAUGGUGAACACGUUUUAUAGAACUGAUUUCCUUUAGGCCCAUUGUCCUUUCCUGGGACAGAAAAUAACUAAACUGAUUUAGGGAACAGCCAAAUAUUUUCUUUCACCUUAAAGUUCUUAGAGAAAUGUAUUUUUCUUAUGAGACAGGUUUUCAUUUUCUUAUACAUGUUCUGUUUUAUGACUUAAUAUUUCCCCAUCAAACAAAAGGAUCUUAGGGAAAACGAGGUGACCAAAACUAAAGAAUACUAUUAGUGGUGACUAGGGGACAAUCUUAGGCAAUAUGGCCAUCUGUCAAUAAUAUGGAUUCGUUUAUUUUCGGCAGCUUUUUUUUUGUCAAAGUUGUAUAAAGAAAAUGACUCUUGAUAUUAGCUGAUUUGACCAUUGGUCCCCUUUAAAAAUGAAAGUUCUAUUUAACUAAUUUGGUUACUUCCAUAGCUGGAAGGGUACUUGUAUAUGAGAAAUUUUAUUUUUUUCAAAGUUUAGAAUAUCUAGUGGAAUGCAUAUUAAUAUGCCACUCAGAGGGUUUGACAAAAUGAACAGUGAAAACCAAGCCUUCACUGACAAAGGACUAUUACCCCAAUAUAUAACCAGCUAUUAACACUCAGACUUAAAAAGAACAAAACUCAGACCAGACACUUUACUAAAUAAGAUUCUUUAACUCCUAGCUUUUUGACCUAAGCAGCUAUCAUGAUAAAGUUGCCAUUUCCUGAGUUGGGAAUGUUCCCUGGGCAAGUGUAUACUAUGUUACCUUACCGAAAGCUUAACUACAUUUCCUAAUGUUUUUCCUCUAGACCUGUCCACUGUUGAGAGCCUCAGGAGUAUACUACAGUUCUAGGUUACAGUGGUCAAAAUAAAAACUGAUGUGAUCUGGAAGGCAGAACUGGAGCAUCAGCUGUUCCACCUUGAAGAUUUCUGCCAGGUACCAGGCACUGCUGCAGUUCACACACACUGUUGCUGACCUGGUACCUCACCCUGUUAAGAGGCUCCAGUGAUAGUAUGGAACAGGGGUAGGCAGUAGCUGUAACUUCAGCUCUCACUGGAUCUCUUCCCCCUCAGCUUUUCUGAAUCCAGGGCCAAGUUUCUAUACAGCUCAGUGAGAAGCAUUCAAGGCAGUGAGCCCCAGACAGGAUAAUCCUCACUGGUUCCAUCAAACCUUGUGAGCUUUGAUUUCUUUUGUUUCGUCUCCCACUUUUCUUGCUUUCUUGCACUGCUAAACCACCAUGAAUCAGGUUCACUCUCUGAGACAGAAGCAACAACCCUCCAUAGAUUCCAGUAGCUUCCCUCAAUGAUUCUUGAUGGAUAAUGACUUUGCUCUUAUCCUUCAACUGUUUUCUCCCACACCUUACUUCCCUAGCUUCUGCCAUGAUUGUAUGGAGCCUGAUUCCUAAAAAUAAAUGCUAUUCUAUAGCACA